rfam:Gossypium raimondii Chr05_contig_1344, whole genome shotgun sequence.
CAUUAAAAAUUUCAUCCAGUUAUAUUGUUAAAAACUAGUGUGGUUGAUAGAAUAAACAAACAAUGAUACAAGACGUGUUUUGUGUAUCUGAUGUUGAUGUAUAGGGAUUGAUUUUUAAUAAUAGAAAUGAAUGGAAUUUUUAACA